GGGGGUGGCUCAGUGGCAGAGUCUCUGCUUGUUGUGCAGAAGGUCCCAGGUUCAAUUUUCAGCCUUCCCCU
rnacentral:tRNA from 1 species